rnacentral:rRNA from 1 species
UCCAAGGCUAAAUACUACCUAGUGACCGAUAGCGUAUAGUACCGUGAGGGAAAGGUGAAAAGAACCCCGGGAGGGGAGUGAAAUAGAACCUGAAACCCUGCACUUACAAGCUGUGGAAGCACAUUUCUUGUGUGACCGCGUACUUUUUGUAGAACGGGCCAACGAGUUACGUUAAGUAGCAAGGUUAAGCACUUAAGGUGCGGAGCCGUAGCGAAAGCGAGUUUUAACUGAGCGUUCAGUUACUUGACGUAGACCCGAAACCGGGCGACCUACCCAUGAGCAGGAUGAAGCGAAAGUAAAAUUUCGUGGAGGUCCGAACCCACGAGCGUUGAAAAGCUCGGGGAUGACUUGUGGGUAGCGGUGAAAUUCCAAUCGAGCCCGGAGAUAGCUGGUUCUCCCCGAAAUAGCUUUAGGGCUAGCCUCAAGGUGAGAGAUACGGAGGUAGAGCACUGAAUGUCCUAGGGGGUAUUGCACCUACCGAAGACUAUCAAACUCCGAAUGCCGUCAUCUUAUACUUGGGAGUCAGACUGUGGGUGAUAAGAUUCAUAGUCGAAAGGGCAACAGCCCAGAUCGUCAGCUAAGGUCCCUAAAUGUAAGUUAAGUGGUAAAGGAUGUGGGAUUGCACAGACAACCAGGAUGUUGGCUUAGAAGCAGCCACUCAUUCAAAGAGUGCGUAAUAGCUCACUGGUCGAGUGAUCCUGCGCCGAAGAUUUCCGGGGCUAAAACUUACUACCGAAGCUACGGCAUCAGUAAUGAUGGGUAGGGGAGCUUCCCAUACGGGUUGAAGCAUGACCGUAAGGACAUGUGGACAGUAUGGGAGUGAGAAUGUUGGCAUGAGUAGCGAGAUGUGGGUGAGAAUCCCACAGGCCGUAAACCCAAGGUUUCCAGGGGAAGGUUCGUCCGCCCUGGGUUAGUCGGGACCUAAGCUGAGGCCGAAAGGCGUAGGUGAUGGACAACAGGUUGAUAUUCCUGUACUACCGAUAACCGUUUGAGAGAUGGGAUGACACAGUAGGAUAAGCUAAGCACACUGUUGGUUAUGUGUGCCCAAGCAUUGAGGCAGUCAAAGUAGG